GACGAACGCUGGCGGCGUGCUUAACACAUGCAAGUCGAACGAAGAGCGAUGGAUGCUUGCUUCUAUCAAUCUUAGUGGCGAACGGGUGAGUAACGCGUAAUCAACCUGCCCUUCAGAGGGGGACAACAGUUGGAAACGACUGCUAAUACCGCAUACGAUCUAAUCUCGGCAUCGAGGAUAGCUGAAAGGUGGACAUUACAUGUAAGCUAACACUCAAGGAGGGGAUUGAGUCUGAUUAGCAAGUUGGAGGGGUAAAGGCCCACCAAGGCGAUGAUCAGUAACCGGUCUGAAAGGAUGGACGGCCACAUUGGGAAUGAGACACGGCCCAGGCUUCUACGGGGAGCAGCAGGUGGGAAACUUUCGCAAUGGACGAAAGUCUGACGGCACAACGGCGGGGGAUGGAUGACGGCCUUCGGGUUUGAAAGCUCUGUUAAUCGGGGCGAAAGGCCUGCUUGCGAAUAGUGAGAAGGAUUGAUGGUACCGGAAUAGAAAGCCACGGCUAACUACGUG
rnacentral:rRNA from 1 species